GGGGACGUUAACGGCGUCGAGCGGCGGACGGGUGAGUAAUGCCUAGGAAAUUGCCCUGAUGUGGGGGAUAACCAUUGGAAACGAUGGCUAAUACCGCAUGAUGCCUACGGGCCAAAGAGGGGGACCUUCGGGCCUCUCGCGUCAGGAUAUGCCUAGGUGGGAUUAGCUAGUUGGUGAGGUAAGGGCUCACCAAGGCGACGAUCCCUAGCUGGUCUGAGAGGAUGAUCAGCCACACUGGAACUGAGACACGGUCCAGACUCCUACGGGAGGCAGCAGUGGGGAAUAUUGCACAAUGGGCGCAAGCCUGAUGCAGCCAUGCCGCGUGUGUGAAGAAGGCCUUCGGGUUGUAAAGCACUUUCAGUCGUGAGGAAGGUUUAUGCGUUAAUAGCGUAUAUAUUUGACGUUAGCGACAGAAGAAGCACCGGCUAACUCCGUGCCAGCAGCCGCGGUAAUACGGAGGGUGCGAGCGUUAAUCGGAAUUACUGGGCGUAAAGCGCAUGCAGGUGGUUUGUUAAGUCAGAUGUGAAAGCCCGGGGCUCAACCUCGGAAUAGCAUUUGAAACUGGCAGACUAGAGUACUGUAGAGGGGGGUAGAA
rnacentral:rRNA from 1 species